GAAUAAAACAACCUCCGAGUGAUUUAAUCACAGACUAACCAGUCGAAGCAUUCUAUCAUUCAUUGAUCCAAUAACUUGAUCAACGGAACA
rnacentral:rRNA from 1 species